GUCCAUUGUUCCAGGUUCCAGAUCCACCAAGACUGCUCGAGGCACAUACUUCUUGGCUGCUGAAAACAGAAAAAGCAAGAUGAUGUCCCUUCCCAUGUGACUGGAUCAACUGAACACACGCAGGAUUACCCACCAACUCUUCACAGGAUCUUUAGUUUGCUUCCAUUGAAUUUCCUCAGUUCUGCUUUUAAGGAGCCCUGUCAGCGGAAAAAAUGUUUAAAGAAGCAGCAAGACUCAGUUAAUGAUUGAUAAACAGAAACCUACAAGAACAUUUGAGGAUGUUAACUCCUUAUGGUCUGGGUCCAUCCAACAACUCUGUACACUCCCAAGUGCUC